rnacentral:rRNA from 1 species
GAUCAUGGCUCAGGAUGAACGCUGGCGGCGUGCUUAACACAUGCAAGUCGAACGGGAAACAUUUAUUGAAGCUUCGGCAGAUUUAGCUUGUUUCUAGUGGCGGACGGUGAGUAACGCGUGGGUAACCUGCCUUAUACUGGGGGAUAACAGCCAGAAACUGACUGCUAAUACCGCAUAAGCGCACAGAACCGCAUGGUUCGGUGUGAAAAACUCCGGUAGGUAUAAGAUGGACCCGCGUUGGAUUAG